rnacentral:rRNA from 1 species
GAGUUUGAUCAUGGCUCAGGAUGAACGUUAGCGGCGUGCCUAACACAUGCAAGUCGAACGAACAGCCAGAAUCUUAGGAAUCUGGCGGGUUAGUGGCGCACGGGUGAGUAACACGUAGGUGACCUGCCCCGAAGUGGGGGCGAACCACUGGAACAGUGGCUAAUACCGCAUGUGCUUAGCCAUUCGGUUGGUUAAGUAAAGCUGAGGCGCUUCGGGAGGGGCCGUGCGGUCGAUUAGCUAGUUGGUGAGGUAAUGGCUCACCAAGGCGAUGAUCGAUAGGGGCGGUGAGAGCGUGACCCCCCACCACU